UACGUAGGGUGCAAGCGUUGUCCGGAAUUAUUGGGCGUAAAGAGCUCGUAGGCGGUCUGUCGCGUCGGCUGUGAAAUUCCCUGGCUUAACUGGGGGCGUGCGGGCGAUACGGGCAGACUGGAGUACUGCAGGGGAGACUGGAAUUCCUGGUGUAGCGGUGGAAUGCGCAGAUAUCAGGAGGAACACCGGUGGCGAAGGCGGGUCUCUGGGCAGUAACUGACGCUGAGGAGCGAAAGCGGUGGGAGCGAACAGG
rnacentral:rRNA from 1 species